rnacentral:rRNA from 1 species
UGAGGAAUCUUCCGCAAUGGGCGAAAGCCUGACGGAGCGACACCGCGUGAAGGAUGAAGCCUUUGUUGGUGUAAACUUCUUUUCUCUCGGAAGAUAAUGACGGUACGAGAGGAAUAAGGGGCGGCAAACUUCGUGCCAGCAGCCGCGGUAAUACGAAGGCCCCAAGCGUUAUCCGGAAUUACUGGGCGUAAAGCGUCUGUAGGUGGCUUUUUAAGUCUUACCGUGAAACUUCGGGGCUCAACCCUGAAUU